rnacentral:rRNA from 1 species
AACGAACGCUGGCGGCAUGCCUAACACAUGCAAGUCGAACGAGACCUUCGGGUCUAGUGGCGCACGGGUGCGUAACGCGUGGGAACCUGCCAUUAGGUUCGGAAUAACUCCCCGAAAGGGGUGCUAAUACCGGCUAAUGUCUUCGGCCCAAAGAUUUAUCGCCUUUGGAUGGGCCCGCGUUGGAUUAGCUAGUUGGUAGGGUAAAAGCCUACCAAGGCGACGAUCCUUAGCUGGUCUGAGAGGAUGAGCAGCCACACUGGGACUGAGACACGGCCCAGACUCCUACGGGAGGCAGCAGUGGGGAAUAUUGGGCAGGGGGCGAGAGCCUGAUCCAGCCAGGCAGCGUGAGUGAUGAAGGCAUUAGGGUUGUAAAGCUCUUUUCCCCGGGAUGAUAAUGACAGGACCGGGAGAAUAAGCCACGGCUAACCACGUG